UGCCAGUUUGGACUCCGGUGGGUAGCUGUCUUCUAAAUUAGCAAUUUUAACACACUCUCCUUAUUCUUAUACUAAACUCAUCAUGUGUAACGGUACAGAAAACUAUGUUGUACAAUUCAAUAAUUUUUAACGUAGAAUAUAUAUACAAAAUUCCACAAAUAUUUGACUCAAAAUAAAAAAAAAAUUAUAAGUAAUUCGCAUUAAAUUGAAUUUCU
rnacentral:lncRNA from 1 species